rnacentral:rRNA from 1 species
UACGAGGGGGGCGAGCGUUGUUCGGAAUUAUUGGGCGUAAAGGGUGCGUAGGCGGUUCCGCAAGUCCUGUGUGAAAUCUUCGGGCUCAACUCGAAGUCUGCACGGGAAACUGCGGGGCUUGAGUGUGGGAGAGGUGAGUGGAAUUCCCGGUGUAGCGGUGAAAUGCGUAGAUAUCGGAAGGAACACCUGUGGCGAAAGCGGCUCACUGGACCAUAACUGACGCUGAGGCACGAAAGCUAGGGGAGCAAACAGG